UCUUUUAAAGGACAGAAGUUAUCCAUUGGUCUUAGGAUCCAACGCCCAUGGCGCAAAUCCAUGUAAAAGCA
rnacentral:tRNA from 1 species